rnacentral:snRNA from 1 species
UCUACUAUCCAGCGAAAC